UACGGAAGGCAGCAGGGGGGAAUAUUGCACAAUGGGCGCAAGCCUGAUGCAGCCAUGCCGCGUGUAUGAAAAAGGCCUUCGGGUUGUAAAGUACUUUCAGUCGUGAGGAAGGUGUUAAGGUUAAUAACCUUAGCAAUUGACGUUAGCGACAGAAGAAGCACCGGCUAACUCCGUGCCAGCAGCCGCGGUAAUACGGAGGGUGCGAGCGUUAAUCGGAAUUACUGGGCGUAAAGGGCACGCAGGCGGUUAAUUAAGUUGGAUGUGAAAUCCCCGGGCUUAACCUGGGAAUGGCAUUCAAGACUGGUUAGCUAGAGUCUUGUAGAGGGGGUAGAAUUCCAUGUGUAGCGGUGAAAUGCGUAGAGAUGUGGAGGAAUACCGGUGGCGAAGGGCGGCCCCUGGGACAAAGACUGACGCUCAUGUGCAAAAGCGUGGGGAGCAAAACAGGGAUUAGAUACC
rnacentral:rRNA from 1 species